GACGAACGCUGGCGGCGUGCUUAACACAUGCAAGUCGAACGGAAAGGCCCUGCUUUUGUGGGGUGCUCGAGUGGCGAACGGGUGAGUAACACGUGAGUAACCUGCCCUUGACUGUGGGAUAACGUCAGGAAACUGGGGCUAAUACCGGCUAGGAGCUCCUGCUGCAUGGUGGUGGUUGGAAAGUUACGGCGGUGUGGUAUGGAAUCGCGGCUUAUCAGCUUGUUGGUGGGGUAGUGGCUUACCAAGGAUUUGACGGGUAGCCGGCCUGAGAGUGUGACCGGCCACAUUGUGACUGAGGUACGAGCCGUACGCAUACGGGAGGCAGGAGUGGGGAAUAGUGCACAAUGGGCGGAAGCCGUAUACAGCAUCGCCGCGUGCUGGAUGACGGCCGUCGGGGUGUAAACCGUUUUCGCCUGUGACGAAGCGUGAGUGACGGUAAUGGAUCAAGAAGCACCGGCUAACUACGUG
rnacentral:rRNA from 1 species